GGAACCUGUACACGUUGCGGAGCAACGCUAGUUAAAGA
rnacentral:ncRNA from 1 species